rnacentral:rRNA from 1 species
AGAGUUUGAUCCUGGCUCAGGGUGAACGCUGGCGGUAUGCCUAAGACAUGCAAGUCGCACGGACUGUUUCGGCAGUUAGUGGCGGACGGGUGAGUAACACGUAGGUGACCUACCCCAAAGUCUGGGACAACUAGGAGAAAUCUUAGCUAAUCCUGGAUGUGAACCUCAGCUGUGGCUGAUGUUUAAAGCUUCGGCGCUUUGGGAUGGGCCUGCGGCGCAUCAGGUAGUUGGUGGGGUAACGGCCCACCAAGCCGACGACGCGUAGCUGGUCUGAGAGGACGACCAGCCACAGGGGUACUGAGACACGGACCCCACUCCUACGGGAGGCAGCAGUUAGGAAUCUUCCGCAAUGGGCGAAAGCCUGACGGAGCGAUACCGCUUGAAGGACGAAGCCCUUCGGGGUGUAAACUUCUGAACUCGGGACGAUAAUGACGGUACCGAGGUAAUAGCACCGGCUAACCCCGUGCCAGCAGCCGCGGUAAUACGGAGGGUGCGAGCGUUACCCGGAUUUACUGGGUGUAAAGGGCGUGUAGGCGGUCUCUCAAGUCCGAUGCUAAAGACCGA